AGUUUGAUCCUGGCUCAGGAUGAACGCUGGCGGCGUGCCUAAUACAUGCAAGUCGAACGAAUCUCUUUUAGAGAUGAGUGGCGAACGGGUGAGUAAUACAUAGGUAACCUGCCCCUGUGCGGGGGAUAACAGGAGGAAACUCCUGCUAAUACCGCAUAGCCAUGAGCACCGCAUGGAGCUCAUGCCAAAUAUCCUUUAUGGGAUAGCGCAGGGAUGGACCUAUGGCGCAUUAGCUGGUUGGCGGGGCAACGGCCCACCAAGGCAACGAUGCGUAGCCGGCCUGAGAGGGCGGACGGCCACAUUGGGACUGAGACACGGCCCAGACUCCUACGGGAGGCAGCAGUAGGGAAUUUUCGGCAAUGGGGGAAACCCUGACCGAGCAACGCCGCGUGAGCGAAGAAGGCCUUCGGGUCGUAAAGCUCUGUUGUAAAGGAAGAACGGCGCAUACAGGAAAUGGUAUGCGAGUGACGGUACUUUACCAGAAAGCCACGGCUAACUACGUGCCAGCAGCCGCGGUAAUACGUAGGCGGCGAGCGUUAUCCGGAAUCAUUGGGCGUAAAGAGGGAGCAGGCGGCCGCAAGGGUCUGUGGUGAAAGACCGAAGCUAAACUUCGGUAAGCCAUGGAAACCGGGCGGCUAGAGUGCGGAAGAGGAUCGUGGAAUUCCAUGUGUAGCGGUGAAAUGCGUAGAUAUAUGGAGGAACACCAGUGGCGAAGGCGACGGUCUGGGCCGCAACUGACGCUCAUUCCCGAAAGCGUGGGGAGCAAAUAGGAUUAGAUACCCUAGUAGUUCACGCCGUAAACGAUGGUCACUAAGUGUCGGGGGUCAAACCCCGGUGCUGCAGUCAACGCAAUAAGUGACCCGCCUGAGUAGUACGUUCGCAAGAAUGAAACUCAAAGGAAUUGA
rnacentral:rRNA from 1 species